UACGUACCGUCCAAACGUUAUUCGGAAUCACUGGGCUUAAAGAGUUCGUAGGCGGCUCAGAAAGUUUGGUGUGAAAUCCCUCGGCUCAACCGAGGAAUUGCGCUCAAAACUACUGGGCUAGAGGGAGAUAGAGGUGAGCGGAACUGAUGGUGGAGCGGUGAAAUGCGUUGAUAUCAUCAGGAACACCGGAGGCGAAGGCGGCUCACUGGGUCUUUCCUGACGCUGAGGAACGAAAGCUAGGGGAGCGAACGGG
rnacentral:rRNA from 1 species